GAUUUCUGGUACGGCGCGCUUGGCCCGCCAGGGUUACCUGGUUGUGUGCUGGUGCGCGCCUGCCAUCCUUCUGCAUAUCAGUUCUAUCCUUUACUGGUGUGAACUGGUUUGUAGAUCUUUUACUUUGAAAAAAUUAGAGUGUUUCAAGCAGGCGUUUUGCUAUGAAUACAUUAGCAUGGAAUAAUGAGUUAGGACUUCGGUUCUAUUUUGUUGGUUUCUAGGACUGAAGUAAUGAUUGAUAGGGAUAGUUGGGGGUGCUAGUAUUCAGCGGCCAGAGGUGAAAUUCUUGGAUUCGCUGAAGACUAACUUAUGCGAAAGCAUU
rnacentral:rRNA from 1 species